CCUACGGGUGGCAGCAGUGGGGAAUAUUGGACAAUGGGCGAAAGCCUGAUCCAGCCAUGCCGCGUGUGUGAAGAAGGCCUUCGGGUUGUAAAGCACUUUCAGUGGGGAAGAAAGCCUUGGGGCUAAUACCCUCGAGGAAGGACAUCACCCACAGAAGAAGCACCGGCUAACUCCGUGCCAGCAGCCGCGGUAAUACGGAGGGUGCGAGCGUUAAUCGGAAUUACUGGGCGUAAAGCGCGCGUAGGCGGUCUGAUAAGCCGGUUGUGAAAGCCCCGGGCUCAACCUGGGAACGGCAUCCGGAACUGUCAGGCUAGAGUGCAGGAGAGGAAGGUAGAAUUCCCGGUGUAGCGGUGAAAUGCGUAGAGAUCGGGAGGAAUACCAGUGGCGAAGGCGGCCUUCUGGACUGACACUGACGCUGAGGUGCGAAAGCGUGGGUAGCAAACAGGAUUAGAUCCCCGGUAGUC
rnacentral:rRNA from 1 species